rnacentral:rRNA from 1 species
AGCGUAGACGGUGUGGCAAGUCUGAUGUGAAAACCCAGGGCUUAACCCUGGGACUGCAUUGGAAACUGUCUGGCUCGAGUGCCGGAGAGGUAAGCGGAAUUCCUAGUGUAGCGGUGAAAUGCGUAGAUAUUAGGAGGAACACCAGUGGCGAAGGCGGCUUACUGGACGGUAACUGACGUUGAGGCUCGAAAGCGUGGGGAGCAAACA